rnacentral:tRNA from 1 species
GUAGCUCAGAUGGUUAGAGCGCUCGACUGAUAAUCGGGAGGUCCCAGGUUCGAUCCCUGGC